CGCUUGAUGUGGCAUGCUCCCGUGGCAUUAGUUUAAUAUUAAAAAAAAUUUUGAAUCACUGCUUCCUUUCACUUUGUUCUUCUCUCCCGAAACAAAACCUAACUCCUCUCCACUUCGUAGCAUUUUGGACUACCCUGGGCGAACGUCAGCCUCCCGAAUCUUCCUUUCUGGCUCAUAAAAUUUUUUUGAAUCAGUCGGCUUUUCUUCUUCUCUCCUGAGCUUCGAAUCAGUGAAAAUGGAAGGUGUGCCUACAUGGUGUGAAGUGGGGUGCCAGGAUGCAACAGGCUAGAGAUUGACACUAUCGUGUGUUCUUAGUGGGAUCACCAUGGAAAUUCCUCAUCUUCAAGAAAGCAGACAUUCUUUGUCUUUGUAUUUUCUUGCCCCAGUGAAUAUACAGUGGUUGCUGUUGCAUUGAUAGAUAAUGCUAAUGACAUCCUCAGGGCUCGAGCACGGACUGAUUCCCUUGAUGAGCCAAUUUUCUGUUGGGGACCUCCAUAUAAUGGCUGUUUUUCUGAGAAAUGUAUGACCUAAGUCUGUGUAUUGGUUUGUAAAUCGAUGUCUAGAACAUUUUCCAUCCUUUUUUUUUUUUUGGUUCUUGUCAGAGUUUUCUUUAGUACUUAAUCAUGAAUAAAUUGCCACUUUUUGCACGUAAAAGAAAUUGAUUGUUAGAUAA